CCUACGGGGGGCAGCAGUGGGGAAUAUUGCGCAAUGGGCGAAAGCCUGACGCAGCCAUACCGCGUGUGUGAAGAAGGCCUUCGGGUUGUAAAGCACUUUCAGUGGGGAGGAAAAGCUGGUGGCUAAUAUCCAUCGGCCGUGACGCUACCCACAGAAGAAGCACCGGCUAAUUCCGUGCCAGCAGCCGCGGUAAUACGGAAGGUGCGAGCGUUAAUCGGAAUUACUGGGCGUAAAGCGCACGUAGGUGGCUUGGUAAGUCGGAUGUGAAAGCCCCGGGCUCAACCUGGGAACGGCAUUCGAUACUGCUGAGCUAGAGUACGAAAGAGGGGGGUGGAAUUCCAGGUGUAGCGGUGAAAUGCGUAGAGAUCUGGAGGAACACCGGUGGCGAAGGCGGCCCCCUGGUUCGAUACUGACGCUGAGGUGCGAAAGCGUGGGGAGCAAACAGGCUUAGAUACCCCAGUAGUC
rnacentral:rRNA from 1 species